rnacentral:piRNA from 1 species
AACAAUGCAUCCUCUGAGGUCUGGCGCC